GCAAGUCGAGCGCACUCUUUUAGAGUGAGCGGCAAACGGGUGAGUAACGCGUGGGAAUCUACCCAUUUCUACGGAAUAACACAGAGAAAUUUGUGCUAAUACCGUAUACGUCCUAUUAGGAGAAAGAUUUAUCGGAGAUGGAUGAGCCCGCGUUGGAUUAGCUAGUUGGUGAGGUAAGAGCUCACCAAGGCGACGAUCCAUAGCUGGUCUGAGAGGAUGAUCAGCCACACUGGGACUGAGACACGGCCCAGACUCCUACGGGAGGCAGCAGUGGGGAAUAUUGGACAAUGGGGGCAACCCUGAUCCAGCCAUGCCGCGUGAGUGAUGAAG
rnacentral:rRNA from 1 species